CUCCUCUCAGGACCACACCUGGAGAGUUUCCAGUACUCUACCAGUCUCGGCUGUGGGAGAGAGAGUCAAGCAGGGGCAUACUCUUUCCAUUUAUAGCUUGGACAGUGGCUAGUAAGUGGAAGCCAAUCUGCUAUAAAU